rnacentral:rRNA from 1 species
AGAGUUUGAUCAUGGCUCAGGAUCAACGCUGGCGGCGUGCCUAAUGCAUGCAAGUCGAGCGGGGUUGCCUUCGGGUGACUUACGCGGCGGACGGGUGCGUAACACGUGGGCAACCUGCCCUUUCCGGUGGGGGAUAGCCGUGGGAAACCGCGGGCAAUUCCGCAUGGGGUCGCGGGCCGGUGGGGUUUGCGAGCAACGGUCUUUCGGAAGCGCCUGAGGAGGGGCCUGCGGCCGAUUAGCUAGUUGGGGGGGUAACGGCUUCCCAAGGCGGUGAUCGGUAGCUGGUCUGAGAGGACGGCCAGCCACACGGGGACUGAGAACGGCCCCGACUCCGACGGGGGGGAGCAGCAAGGAAUCUUCCGCAAUGGGCGAAAGCCUGACGGAGCAACGCCGCGUGGGGGAGGACGCGCUUCGGGGUGUAAACCCCUUUUCCCGGGGACGAAGCACUGACGGUACCCGGGGAAGAAGGACCGGCUAACUACGUGCCAGCCGCCGCGGUAAUUC